AAAGACAGAGUUCGAGUAGAUACUAUCUCGACGAAAUUUUCUAAGGCAUUCGGCUCAAUCACGGAUCAUAUCUGUCUUAUACAUAUCUCAGAUAAAUCACGUAUUGCAAGUCCACUUUUGUCAACGUUUCACCCGAUAGAUAGCAAUUCGUCAAUUUAUUCGCUGUUUCGUCGGAGAUGUUCAGGGUUACAUCUGCACAAUGCACAUCACCAAGAUCGACAUUUGUCGCCCUUAUUAUUUAAUCUUAUUUGUAUCAAUAAAGUUUUUUUCGAUGCUCCCUCUUGUCGUAUUUUACUUUUCGCCGACGAAGCUAAACUUUUUGCCCGGGUUACUUCAACAAGUGAUUGCGAUGCCCUUCAAUUGUCAACCGUCGUAACGGUUUUGUCAUCUCGUACAACGCUGUUUGCCUAAAUCUCAAUGCUGACAAAUGUUAAUUCAUGUCCUUUUCUAGAUCCUGGGUACGUAUCGACU